rnacentral:rRNA from 1 species
GGUUUCUUGUUUAUAUAAGAGAUUUGGCCUGCCCACUGAUUUAAUUUUAAGGGCCGCAGUAUUUUGACUGUGCAAAGGUAGCAUAAUCAUUAGUCUUUUAAUUGAGGGCUGGAAUGAAUGGUUGGACGAAAUAAAUUCUGUUUCAUUAAAAUUUUAUUGAAUUUAGGUUUUAAGUAAAAAUUCUUAAAUAAUGUUAAGGGACGAGAAGACCCUAUAGAGUUUAAUAUAUUGAUUUUAAAUUAAGUUUUUAUUUAAUUUAUGAUUUUUUUUUUAAUUUAUUUAAUUGGGGUGAUUGGAAGAUAUUUUUAACUCUUUUUAAUUUUUAAUAAUUAUUUUUAGUUUUUUGAUCCAUAAAUUUUUGAUUUUAAGAUUAAAUUACCUUAGGGAUAACAGCAUAAUUUUUUUUGAGAGUUCUUAUUGAAAAAAGAGAUUGUGACCUCGAUGUUGGAUUAAGAUAAAUAGUGGGUGUAGAUGUUCAUUAAUUAGGUCUGUUCGACCUUUAAAAUCUUACA